rnacentral:rRNA from 1 species
UGCCAGCCGCCGCGGUAAUACGGAGGGUGCGAGCGUUAAUCGGAAUCACUGGGCGUAGAGCGUACGUAGGUGGCAAAGUCAGUCAGGCGUGAAAGCCCUCGGCCCAACCGAGGAACUGCAUUCGAUACUGGCUGACUCGAGGACAGGAGGGGUGAGUGGAACUCCAGGUGGAACGGUGAAAUGUGUAGAUAUCUGGAGGAACACCGGUGGCGAAAGCGGCUCACUGGCCUGUCUCUGACGCUGAGGUGCGAAAGCUAGGGUAGCGAACGGGAUUAGAUA